rnacentral:rRNA from 1 species
GUGGAUUAGAUACCCUGGUCGUCCACGCUGUAAACGAUGGGCACUAGGUGUUCGGGGUAUUGACCCCCCGAGUGCCGCAGCUAACGCAUUAAGUGCCCCGCCUGGGGACUACGGCCGCAAGGUUAAAACUCAAAGGAAUUGACGGGGGCCCGCACAAGCGGUGGAGCAUGUGGUUCAAUUCGACGCAACGCGAAGAACCUUACCUGGGCUAGACAACAUCGGACACCCCUAGAAAUAGGGUCUUCCCGCAAGGGACCGGUGGUUCAGGUGCUGCAUGGUUGUCGCCAGCU